GUUGGUGAAUUCAAUGAGAUCUUAUUGUCAUCGGAAAAGGAGGGAGGGGCGCCAAGAUAGCAAGCUCGGUUGCAAGCUUUCCAAGAUGCAUUAUCAGAUUGUGAUCUCGAAGACCUGGGAUACAUGGGGGAUAAAUUCACGUGGUUCCGGGGUGGUCUGAAAGAGCGACUUGAUCGAGCUGUGAUGAACGGCGGGUGGAUAAGUAUGCACCCAUAUGCAGGCCUGCGUAAUUUGGAUAUGGGCAAAUCAGACCACAGGCCCAUAAUG
rnacentral:rRNA from 1 species